rnacentral:rRNA from 1 species
UGGGGAAUAUUGCACAAUGGGCGAAAGCCUGAUGCAGCAACGCCGCGUGAGUGAUGAAGGCCUUCGGGUUGUAAAGCUCUGUCUUUUGGGACGAUAAUGACGGUACCAAAGGAGGAAGCCACGGCUAACUACGUGCCAGCAGCCGCGGUAAUACGUAGGUGGCAAGCGUUGUCCGGAUUUACUGGGCGUAAAGGAUGCGUAGGCGGAUUUUUAAGUGAGAUGUGAAAACCCUAAGCUUAACUUGGGGAUUGCAUUUUCAUACUGGAAAAUCUAGAGUGCGGGAGAGGAGAAUGGAAUUCCUAGUGUAGCGGUGAAAUGCGUAGAGAUUAGGAAGAACACCAGUGGCGAAGGCGAUUCUCUGGACCGUAACUGACGCUGAGGCAUGAAAGCGUGGGUAGCAAAACAGGAUUAGAUACCCUGGUAGUCCACGCCGUAAACGAUGAGUACUAGGUGUAGGAGGUAUCGACCCCUUCUGUGCCGCAGUUAACACAAUAAGUACUCCGCCCUGGGAAGUACGAUCGCAAGAUUAAAAACUUUAAAGGAAUUUGACGGGGGUCAUAGCUGUUUCCU